UCUUCAACGGACACUACAGUCCUAUGGCCAAAAUGAUUUCCACUUUCGCGCUCUUCGUUUUAAGCAUACUGCAUGCAAAUGCUGUUCCUCAAGAUGCAACAAUUCCUCAGAAUUAUUAUAAUCCACAACCGGACGUACCUCCAACUUCAUACCCUCCUGCAGCAGCACCAGCUAACACACCAUUUGCGUACCAAAGAUAUCCACCCAACUUCUACCCCGGGAAUACAUCUAGAACUCCCCCGUUCUACCCUGGCUUCAAAAAUCUCAACUACCCCGUUCAUCCGAUUCCUAACAAUACCGUCCCAAUAGUCCCCUUAAAUCAACCAGCACAACCUGUUCCACUUCCAAUAGCUACAAUACAAAGUAUUCCAAUACCAAGCCCACUGCCAUCACGCUCAGGUUUACGAUCAUGCUUAGGUCCAGGAUCAUGCUCAGGCCCAGGAUCAGGCUCAGGCUCAGGAUCAUGCGCAGGCACAGGAUCAUGCUCAGGCCCAGGAUCAGGCUCAGGCUCAGGAUCAUGCGCAGGCACAGGAUCAUGCUCAGGCAUAAACUCAGGGAAAUGCCCAGGAUCAUGCUCAGGUCCAGGAUCAUGCUCAGGCCCAGGAUCAUGCUAAGGCGCAGGGUCAUGCUCAGACCCAGGAUCACGCUCAGCACCAGGCUAAGUCUCGUCCCCUGGAACCAGCACAAGAGAAACU